GGCCCCGCGGGAGUCCCUCACGCACGGACCCGGAUCGCCAGCCGACUCCCAGACCGGGAACACCGCUUCUCUUCGCCUCCUCCGCGUCCCGGCACGUUUUCCUCGCCAGCGCUCGAGGAGCAGCAGCAGCGGGGCUGGCAGCCCGGAGCGGCCCCGGUGACUCGGAGCUGCUGUGUGCGGUGUCAGCCUGCCGAGCCGCCCCCGCGCUCGGUAUCUGCCUCACCGCGCUGCCAGCUCCAUAGCCACGGCUUGGCACCGCUCCACCUCUCGGUGGGCAGCUGGCAGCGUCCCGCUCGUUCCCCAGCCCGGGGCCGUGUGGCGGCUGCGGCGGCGGCUGCGGAGCGCGGUCGGAGCCCAUGCGGCGGCAUUGAGGACUGAGGAGCGGCUGAGGUGCGCAAGGCUGACGGAUGCUGAAACACGAAGAUGAUUUAGCAAAACGCGAUCGAGGCUAGGGGAGAACAUUGAAAAAUUAACUGGUAUUACCUCAUUUUGUGCUGACCCCUACACUAUGAACACAUACUGGUUUUGCUGUCACCUCAGACCAGUGGUGAAUACGAAGACUGUGGCCACUGAACUGCAUUUCUCUCUAUAAAGCAGCUUUAAAAUAACCAUCCAGAUGGCAGACAAGCAAGCAGUGGUGAUUGACUGCAUUUUGGAAUUUUGACCUCAGCACCAUUGCAGACAGCUGUGGCUAAAGGUGAAAAUGAAACUUCUCUGUACAUGAUAAACCAAAGCCCUAGGAAUCAUCUCUCAGUAUUUUAACUGGCUGAGAUUUCAGGAGGUAGUGCUGUUGCUCCAUCUGAAACACAAGUUUGCCUAAAUACAACCCUCUGUAGUAAUAGGGUAAUAAAGAAGAGGAUUCUGCAGUGCUGGAGACAAGAUUUGGAUUUGAUGUUUGAAAAUCCCUCUGUUCUUAUGUUCCUGUAAGACUGGUCUGUAACUUCCCAGCUGGUAACAUCAGCUAUUUACCAGCUCAGCUUUAUCCCCUCUGAACAGAGAAGUUCUGGAUACACUUAAUACUGAAAAUACAUUCCAGUGUUACAUAAGGGUUG